rnacentral:rRNA from 1 species
GUGAGGAAUUUUCCGCAAUGGGCGAAAGCCUGACGGAGCAAUGCCGCGUGAAGGAUGAAGGCCUAUGGGUUGUAAACUUCUUUUCUCAGAAAAGAAUUAUGACGGUAUCUGAGGAAUAAGCAUCGGCUAACUCUGUGCCAGCAGCCGCGGUAAGACAGAGGAUGCAAGCGUUAUCCGGAAUGAUUGGGCGUAAAGCGUCUGUAGGUUGUUUAAAAAGUAUUCUGUCAAAGAUUAGGGCUUAACCCUAGAUAGGCAGAAUAAACUUUUAAGCUAGAGUUUAGUAGAGGCAGAGGGAAUUCCCGGUGGAGCGGUGAAAUGCGUAGAUAUCGGGAGGAACACCAAAGGCGAAGGCACUCUGCUGGGCCAAUACUAACACUGAGAGACGAAAGCGAGGGGAGCAAAUGGGAUUAGAAACCCCAGUAGUCC